CCCCGGUGUCACUCGUACCAUCUCCGAUCACUGGGCUCUUCAGCCCGACACCAUCGAAUCUUUCCCUCUGGAGCUCUCAGAGGUCUUGGAAUCACGUUUCUCUUGAAAAGCAUCCGAUCGGAUGUCUUUUAGAGGUCUUGUUCCGAGCUGUGUCGACAGCCGUGCGCCGCGAGGAUCCAUUGUUGCGGCUUAGGACUUGAAGAAACGCAGAGAUAGGUAGGGGGCUGUGGCCCUCAGAUUCUCGGGCAUCCGUCUUGGCACUUGCUGGAGUUUGUCAUUCCAUCAGCAUCUUCUUCCUCCCGGGUUCUGCGAGCUUCAUCAGCUCGCCUUCAUUCUCACCCGGCUCAUCUCGUUCCGCGUUCUCUCGGUCCUUGCGGCCGUUCUUGUGGCCCAGAGUUUUGUCUCCCCAUUGUGUCCCCUCGUCUGUUGUCUUGUGUGUCACAGGUGUCUGGGUGUAGUUGUCCCGGAGCUGCUCUGUCCUGCUGCCCAGCCUGGGUGUAGGUGUAAAAGGCCAAGUCCCAGGCCCCUGUAAUUUGCAGUUUGUCAUGUAGGGUGUAGUUGGAGUCUAGAGGGUAUUCCUAGAUUGACACAAGAUGUCUGGAGCUGUGAAGUUACUCUGCAGCACUUUGACUUUUGUCUCAGCUUUCUUUCAGAUGCGGACGGAUGAAAUCGGUGGCAGAGCGCCCCAUCCAGGGUAAGGGGGUUCCCCCGAGGAGGAAGUAGAGCCAGCUAGCAGCAGUCAAGGCGAAGUGGGCAAGGCGGUCCAGUCGCGUUUCGCUGAGACGUCCUUGCCAACCGGCCGGCACAGCUGCUUCACUGCUCCCGUGAGCCCUGCGGAAGCGUUAUGGAACCGUGUGACGGAGCCUUUUCCACGUAAAGGGGCCGUGUGGGUGGCCUUCAGGAACGGGCCGAGGGGUUGCCGCGCGCCCUGUGACGACGGCGUCCAGCUCCCAGUGUGGCCGAAGCGUGCGGCCUCAGGACGUGGCCGUUCACAGGAGACCCUGACCGAGAGACGGCAGCCUGGCGAUGGCAGGAACUUCCCAGAUG